rnacentral:rRNA from 1 species
GACGAACGCUGGCGGCGUGCUUAACACAUGCAAGUCGAACGGAAAGGCCCUGCUGUUGUGGGGUGCUCGAGUGGCGAACGGGUGAGUAACACGUGAGUAACCUGCCCUUGACUUUGGGAUAACUUCAGGAAACUGGGGCUAAUACCGGAUAGGAGCUCCUGCUGCAUGGUGGGGGUUGGAAAGGUUCGGCGGUUGGGGAUGGACUCGCGGCUUAUCAGCUUGUUGGUGGGGUGGUGGCUUACCAAGGCUUUGACGGGUAGCCGGCCUGAGAGGGUGACCGGCCACAUUGGGACUGAGAUACGGCCCAGACUCCUACGGGAGGCAGCAGUGGGGAAUAUUGCACAAUGGGCGGAAGCCUGAUGCAGCAACGCCGCGUGCGGGAUGACGGCCUUCGGGUUGUAAACCGCUUUCGCCUGUGACGAAGCGUGAGUGACGGUAAUGGGUAAAGAAGCACCGGCUAACUACGUG